CAGUGGGACUGCUGCUGUCUGCGUAGUGUCUCUGACUAUUGAAGAUACUCGAUGACAUCCUUUACAGGAUUCACGAAAAUUAAUUUGUGGACCUUUUGCUUGGCGCUUCGUACCAGUGUCGCUCACUAGAAAUUUUCGUCGUUUCAUUCGUUCGUGUAAUAAAUGCACAUUGCAUGGCACCACUUGGGUGUAAUGAAAACAAGGGAAAAGGCUCUGGAAUAGGAUGUGACAGCGGAAAUCUAGGCACAAACAUGAAAGGAUGAGAAGUCUGAAAUCAAUAGCAAUGGUAAUGACCAAGGUCCUGAAGCUGGGAAGUGGCAGAGGCACCUUUGGGACCCAGGUUUGUGAGUUUGGGAAUCCAUCAGCGGCCCAUUCUGCAAUGCUGCCUCUAGAAGAAGAAAGAGAGGUGUGCGUGUCCUGGAAAAAUGGAAAGAUGAUUUACGCCUUCAGUUCAAGGCUGGACGGGAAAAAAGACAGAGGAAAUGAAGGUGAGGAGGUGGUGUCAUUCAUCAAGGCUAUGGUGCCAGUUGAAGGGUUGUUUUCAGAGAUGCACUUGAGGGCUUUCUGAUGAUGGCAGAAUAGAGCUGGACGUUCAGGGAGGAGAAAUGGCUUACCAGGUCCUCCCAGCUCAUGAUGGCAAGGACAGUGAUGGAGCCAGAGGCAGGCUGGCUCCCAAUCCAGGGCUGUUUCCUCUUGACUGAAGCUUUGCAUGUGAUUGCAGCCAUGAAGGAGAUGGCACGUGAGUCAGCAACUACAGCGAAACUCGACAGGGACUCUAAGGAAAGUAGACACAGUGGGCUCUGCUUCCCAGGGCUGGACCGGAGGAGACUUCGGGGUGAAUAGCUAAGGAGUUUAUAAUAUAAGGCCAGGAGCCCGGGACAGGCAUCCUGGGUGGAAGUAACAGCAUGCACCAUAGGACACAGCAGCAUCCUGGGCAGCGUUUCCGCGGGGGCACCAUUAAUCAUUUGACUCAGGACUGUUCCAGGCUCAGCAGGACGUUUAGUGUCUCCCAUCCCUGCUCACUAAAUUCCAUAAGCACCCCCCAGUCACUGUGACAACCUCAUGCACCUGACACAUUUCCAAAUGCCACCAGGGGGUAGGUACCACCCCUAGCUAACUUCUGGUGGGUCUAGUUUUAGGACACGUGCAGGGGGCCUUCAUAGGCGACCGACCAGAGCAGUCACCCAGGGUCCCUCAUUCAGAAGGGCCCUGCAUGAGGGGUUUAAGGCUCUGAGGGUACCAUCUGGAAAUUCCUGAUCCUUUUUUCUUUGAAUUUGUGUUUUGUGAGUAGAGUCUGUGGCCAAUGAAGAAUGUGCUGAAGGCUUGCAGCCUCUGUUCCUGUGCAGUCCCACCUCCCGCUGCCACCCCACUCUAUGCCCCUGGCACCUCAGGUUCCACCCAGUUUCCCCCUCCCCACUCCUAUCACUUGACCCCAUUAUAUUGGUGGCGGACGGGAGUCAGGUUCUGUAUUGCCCUCCAGCCCCAGCGGAGGCCAAGUCAAACUCAGAGAGGGCCAAGGUUGAGUGCAGCCUCCUCGGCGUCUCUGGACAGGACAAGGCAGUGGCCACCACUGCCCUGGGCUGGCAGUGCCACGGCACAUUGUGGAGUGACUCAGCAGGGGCCCCUUGCCCACCUCCAGUGCAGGCACCCAGCUUCUCUUUGGUUGCAAUCCCUUAGCGUUUGCCCUUCCACCUGUGGGUUGGGUGGAGGCACACAGGAAGGGAGACUGAUUCCCCACCCCCAGCAGGGGCCCUGCAUUUUGCACUGGACCUACAAGUUACAGAGCCAGCUCUGCGUGUAUAAUAGUGUCAGCAGUGGACACAGAGAGAAGGGGAUGCUUUCAGGAAAUGGUUUGAUGUGGACUCCAUAGGUUUUAGUGACUGACUUACAUAUGGAGGGAGAGGGAGGAUUUUAAGAAGACAGCUCCCCCAUUUUUAGCCCAGAAAUAGAGAAAGAUCAGUUUGUUUGAAGGGGGUAUGGAAAUGUGGGGAGAAAUAAUAAGUUUACUUUGGGACAUAUUUAUUUUGAGAUUGUUGUGGAGAAAUCCACAGAACAUUUGGAAAUUAGGUCAGGAGCCCAGGAAAGAAGUCUAAUUGGAAGAAAUAGAUUUGUGAGUUGUAGGUGUAUGGAAGGUAUUUGAAGUUAAGGGAACAAAAGAGAAGGGCCAGGACAAGAUGUGGUGGCGGGAAGAGGGGCAAGGAUGCUGCAGGGACUGAAAGUGAGAUUCAGACAGAAACAUGGGCAUUGAAUUUGCUCACUAGAAAGUCAACAAGUAACUUAGAGCUGCACUGCCCAAUACAAUUGCCACUAGCCACAUGUAGCAAUUAAAAUUAAGUCAAACUUAAAUAAAGUUUAAAAUUCAGUUCCACAAGCCACAUUGCGUGUUCUCCGCAGCCACACAUGGCUAGUGGCUAUCAUACUGGACCACUCAGAAUAGAACAUGACCACGCUCACAGAAUACUCUGCUGGACAGCACUAUUCUGGGGAGUGGCACGAGCAGAAGCAAGGCUGCAGUGGGCUGGAAAGUGGGGGGACAUGAGGAUGAGAGGGGUCAGUUUGGAGUACAGGUUCCUCACCGCCAUGCCUGGAUGCACUGGUUUGCCCAGCUGCCGCUGUGAGCUACACUGAGAACUGAAACUGUCCAACGAGAUGCUUUUGUGGGAAAGCUGGUGGAGAAAAUUGUAUUCUCCAGACUUCUUUAGGUAGAACAUUGUAUUUGGUAAGAAUUUCCCUUGGGGUAGAAAUUGAGGUGGUGUGUUGGCUCACGGGUAACAUGACUGCCCUGCUGAAGGCGACAGUAUAUCCUGGGUGUGCAGGCGAGGGAGCCAUGGGGAGAGAAGCAGAGGGUGGGGACAGGGGUGAGAGAGGGGGGUGGGUGUGUCUGGACGAUGUGCUGGGACAGACAUCCCCUUAACCCUCCAGAUCUUCAGGAAACUUCCAUGAAAACCACAGAAUGCCCAGUGUCCGUGGGGUUUCUGUGGGGAGCAGAGAAGGUACAAUGUUGACCACUUAGACAUCAUGGGGAGACCACAGAAUCAGGUUCGAGCCAAGUCCAUGCAGAUCCCCAAGGGGCACUUGUAAACGAGUUUAUUCUAAAAGAGUUUACAAUAAAACUUAUGUUGGUUUAAUUUUUUUCUUGAUUUUUUAAUAUGCUUCUAAAAAGCAAGCCCUAUGUUUUAAAAAAUUAAUCAGAUGCCUAUAAACAUAUGAAUAUCUAAAGUAACAAAAUAAAAUAUUUAUUAAACCUGGCUCAGA